UCAGUUUUUGAUUGCUGGUUCUGAUUUUUGUAGAUUUCCGACUUUCAUGGAGGCAGUACACUUAUGAGUGUUUAAUUUACUGAUGUGUAAAUGUUAACACAGUCACUUAAAAGGAUAAAUAUUAAUGGACAUAAUCAUGAAACUAUCUGUGAAAGUCAUUUGAAGAUAGUGAUAAAGGCGUAUUGACAGAAUCUACAUUUGAUACAUUGAAAAAAAUCAUUGAAAAAGAAGGCAGAAAUAAAUGAACAAUGAUUGAAUACCAGUAAACUUGGUGCUUUGCACACUGCCUUUGAUUUCAUUCUCCCAAAAUAUCUGUGAAAUAGAUAUUAUUUGUCAUUUGCAGAUGAGAAAACUAAGGCUCAGGGAACUUAUUUGUCCUAGGUCACACACAUACAAAAACCCAAGAAACAAUAAAAAGAAAGAAAGAAAAACACAAUAAAAAUUAUCCCUAC
rnacentral:lncRNA from 1 species